rnacentral:rRNA from 1 species
UACGGAGGAUGCAAGCGUUAUCCGGAUUCAUUGGGUUUAAAGGGUGCGUAGGCGGGCUAUUAAGUCAGUGGUGAAAUCCUGCAGCUUAACUGCAGAACUGCCGUUGAUACUGAUAGUCUUGAGUUUGGUUAAGGUAGGCGGAAUGUGUAAUGUAGCGGUGAAAUGCUUAGAUAUUACACAGAACACCAAUUGCGUAGGCAGCUUACUGAGCCGACACUGACGCUGAGGCACGAAAGCGUGGGGAUUAAACAGGAUUA